rnacentral:SRP_RNA from 1 species
GGAAGAUCUUCUUGGAUGCACUAUAUACGAAUCCAGUCAGGUCUGAAAAGAAGCAGCUGUAGUAUGGACGUGUAGGUUAAGAGAUCUUCCAAA